CCCAGGACAAUGACCGGCUCUGAGGCCAGCCAGCCUUCAGCAGGCAGAGUGCAGGGGACACUCGGCUUCGGCCUCCUGAGCGUACGCCCAGGUCACGCGGCUGUGCCUAGGAUCCUGAAGGCAGGUAAGACGGCUCUGUGCUCUGAGAUGCCUGUGGAUAUAGGUGACCAGGGGACACCGCUGCAGGCCUGUCCCCAGGACAGACUUCACAGGGUCCUCUGACCGUGGUAGUCACUUAAGCGCAGGUUUCUUGCCAGGCCAGAGCCGUCGGCURAAGGACCCCGACACCAGGCCCCGGCUGCUCCCUCCCGGGCCUGGGGCCACUCUCAGUCACCAAGGCUCAGGGCUCCUUCCCCCACACGACGCCGGGCUCUUUACCAGGCACCCAGCACCGCCCUCUCUCACGCMGGGCUUGGCGGCCUCCUGGGGCUGGAGCCCUGCCAGAGCUGCCAGCUGUCCCCACCCAGCCCUGAGGGCCGGGCACUCCGCUGGGAUCACGGCCCACAGAGCAGCUGCAGCUGCCCUCGCAUCAGGGGCACUGUGACGAGCGGCGACSCCGCCCUCAGGUCCUCCCCGGCCUCCCUCCCACCCCGUCAUCGGAGCCCGUCCCUGGGUCUCUCACAGAAGCCCUGGGCUUCCUGCCGGYGCCACGCCGUCCUGCCCACUCCAUCACGGAACCGUCAGGAGGUGAGCAGGGCCCUCCUACCACCGAGGCGGUCAGCUAACGUCCAGGUCAUCGUGAGCACAGCGCCCCUGGACACCAGAGCAGCUCAUGACCACUUGGCCCCGGCCUGCGCUGGCCAGCCAGGAGACUUUCCUUCCCUUAAAGGGGCCGCCCGCUGCGAGGGCAGCCAACACGGGCCAGGGUUCACGGAUACCCGCCCCGGCCAGGAGACAGGGUCGUCCACCACGUCACUGAAAUGUCUGAAAAGACGCCACAGAGCCCUGCCCUGCCACUCGUCCCCCGGGAUCUCCCCAAGUGCUCCUCCAAGGCCYGUCGUCUGAGUUGUGCGUUUCUUGGGCAGGUGGCCUUUAAGAUUUACACACAGAAGGGCACUUGUCGCACACACAGAUGAGGUGACACAAAUCACUCACUGGGGACGGGUUCAUCAGGAGGCUGACUCGAUUUCCGUUUGGAAUCCACGAGACAAGAACCCAGGGAGAAGGAAUGGCUGGGGUCCGCCGCCACCUGGGGGCACGGCCACCUCUGGGAGCGGUGACGCUCAUCAGCUGAGAGGCCUCGGCCGCGCGGACCCCACCUGUMGGAAGCAGUGAGUCCACUUCUUCUCAAAAAUCCAGCUUUGUCAGAAUAUCCCGACGCAGAUGAGACCCACGUAAAACGUCUUUGGAGUCCCUGAACCCCCAGGUGGCACCUGGCGGGAGAGUCCUCUGGAAAAURGCCCGGACUCACGAGAGCCGUAGGGAGCAGGAGAAGGGAAGGAACUUCCCGAGCAAGAGCCUCCGACUGUGCAGGACGUGACCUCGAGUGGCAUACACAACAGACUGGGGCGGCCACACUGUGGGACACCCCCGGGUGAUAGGAAGAACCGCGAGGAAAUGAUCCCCUACGGUUCUGGAURUCGUCCUCCUCCAGAGCAAGGCCCSGUGGYGAGGCACCGUCCAGGCAGCACUYGGGAGCCCCUCCCCGCCCCGGAUGGUCAUCCGACAGGAYCCUUCCUCCAGAAGGUUCCAGCUAAUGUGCCACCCUCGUGCCGUUUCCUACACUACGUUUUACCCCCAAAGAGUCAGCCAACACGAUUCCCCUCCACCUCACGGYAAGGGAACGUCGGAGGCACUGUGCGCAGAACGGCCCUCCCCACGCACCCUCAGGAGACCCGGCCACUCGRGCGUGGGACCYGCGUGCUUGACGCAAGACUCACCGCAGAGCGAGUGACCAGGAGGGGCCUGCUCAGCUGCCCCCAAGGGCGAGGGCAGUGGGCUCUCAGGGCGAUGCGGCCGGAGGCUCUGAGUGUGGCGCCCACAGCCCUGGUUUCAGGAUUCACGU
ensembl:lncRNA